UUGAUGUUUUCAGAAACACUGCUGUUUAAUGUUCUAUUGUAGCCCUUCUGGACCUGAUAUCCUUCCGUGCUAGUGAGAGACAGAGAAACAUGGAGCAACUUGAGACCAUUUCAGGCUCUGAGGUGAACAGCACAGAUCGUCUGAUGAUGGAGCCUCUGGCAGCAUUGGAAAGGCAUUUCAGAGCUCAGCAGCAGAACAAUCUCACUGGGGACCCAGAGUGCCUGAGAGAAGACAUUUGCUGGGCUGCUCCUUUCUCAUGCUGUGUAUGGUUCAUGGUUAAGCCAGUGACGCAGGAGUAGAAAGAAAAUUUUGGAUUAUGAGAUCCUGCUGCCUGCUACGAAGGAAAAGCACGCCACAUAACCCUCCUCGUAUCUUCAUCAAGCUGUAUUUUAAAAUCAAGAAACUCACUGGCCCUCAGUGUUGUCUUGUGAGGCUUGCCUUAUUCAGU